AGCAGCCGCGGUAAUUCCAGCUCCAAUAGCGUAUAUUAAAGUUGUUGCAGUUAAAAAGCUCGUAGUUGAAUUUCGGGGUUAGCAGGUCGGUCGUGCCAUUGGUAUGAACUGGUCUCGCUGAUCCCUCCCUCUUGACGAACUGUGAUGCCAUUAAUUUGGUGUCGCAGGGAAUCAGGACUGUUACUUUGAAAAAUUGAGUGUUUAAAGCAGGCUCACGCUUGAAUACAUUAGCGUGGAAUAAUGAAAUAGGACGUUUGAUCCUAUUUUGUUGGCUUCUAGGAUUGACGUAAUGAUUAAUAGGGAUAGUUGGGGGCAUUAGUAUUCAAUUGUCAGAGGUGAAAUUCUUGGAUUUAUUGAAGACUAACUACUGCGAAAGCAUUUGCCAAGGAUGUUUUCAUUAAUCAAGAACGAAAGUUAGGGGAUCGAAGACGAUCAGAUACCGUCGUAGUCUUAACCAUAAACUAUGCCGACUAGGGAUCGGAUGAUGUUAAUUUUAAUGACUCAUUC
rnacentral:misc_RNA from 1 species